AUUAUUUCUUGGUCUUUUGACUGAUAUCAAGUAUAGUAUCUGUUCUUAUCAGUUUAAUAUCCGAUAUAUUCUCUAAAUGAGAAUAUUAUCUUAAAGAUAGUUUUGGGUUAGGGAGCUAGAAUGAGGGCUUGUUUUUCCUGCUUUGUGUAUCAACUUGAUGGUGGCAUGGUGGUGUAGUAGUU